rnacentral:misc_RNA from 1 species
UGGGAGCCGGGUGAGCCAAGUAGGAU